rnacentral:rRNA from 1 species
CCCUUAGAUGUUCUGGGCCGCACGCGCGCUACACUGUUCGACGCAGCGAGUCUUAACCUUGACCGAAAGGUUUGGGUAAUCUUCAGCAAAGUCGAACGUGAUGGGGAUCGAUCAUUGCAAUUAUUGAUCGUGAACGAGGAAUUCCUAGUAAGUGCAAGUCAUCAGCUUGCGCUGAUUACGUCCCUGCCCUUUGUACACACCGCCCGUCGCUACUACCGAUUGAAUGGUUUAGUGAGAUCUCUGGAUUGACGCUGGCUAGGGGGCGACCCUUGGCCAGACUGUUGAGAAACUGCUCAAACUUGAUCAUUUAGAGGAAGUAAAAGUCGUGACA